rnacentral:lncRNA from 1 species
GCAGGUGGAGGAACUCAGCCAUCCCGGUUACCGGUGGCAGGAUGAUUUCCUUUCAUCCCAAACUUUGUUUCCAUAGUGAAGUCAUCAUGAAGGAGUACUGUGUUGGCAUCCUCGCUUCACAGGAUUCCCAUGCCUGGUACUCUUGCUCUGUAGACCAGGCUGGAGUGCAGUGGCAGGAUCUCAGCUCAACACAUCCUCCGCCUCCCAGGUUCAGCCUCUGCAGUAGCUGGGAUGACAAGCAUGCAUCACCACGCUCAGCUAAUGUUUUGUACUUUUAGUAGAAGCCAGGCUUCACCAUGUUGGCCAGGCUGCUCUCCUACUACAG